AAUAUAUGAUGAUACUAUUUGGUCCGUGUUUAUGAAGUCUUAUGAUUUUACUCUUAACCAUUUCUGAGAAU